CUUUGUUUGGCUAUAGAUGUGUUAUUUAGAGUAGUGAUUAAUGAAAUAACUAUGCUAAAUGUAGUGUUUCCAUUGUAUUGUAUUGUUCCUUCAAUCUGAUUUUCUGUACAUUUCAUGACUUUCAUUUGCACGAGUAUGCUUAUUGUUAUUGAUUAAUUAUUCUUUUAUUUUCCUAUUCUCAUGUUUCUAUUUUUAUAGCUUGAUUCAUUAGCCUUGAUAAUUGUAUUUCUUGUUGUUGUCCUUGCUUGUUUUUGUGGUACUUUUUUAAGUUAGGGGUAAGGUCUGCGUACACACAACCCUUCUUAGACCCCAAUGGAGGGGUUAUAGUGGGUAUGCUGUUGUUGCUUAGACUUAUGAGGUUCAUCCAGUUCUGUGGCUACUAACUAUUUCAUUGAAGAUGUGUUUGAAAUAUUAGAAUUGAUGCUCUACUUUUAUGAGGUUAAAACAUUUUUGGUCUGACUGUAACAAUCAAAGAUCAACAUUGUAGUAAGAAAUAGAAGUAUCUAAAAAGAGGUUAUUUUUCUUGCAUCAAUGACUAUUGAUUUACCAGUGCUCUGUCGGUCCAUUUAGUGGGUUCUCUCCCAAAAACAAAAUCAUACUAUACAUUGCGCAUACGUGACAGUGAGAAAGAUAAAAAAAUAUGUCAUGCCUAGGGAUGGCUUCUAGAUCUUAGUAAAAGAAAACAUACGAAACAACUUGCUAUGUAACUAGCAAGAACUAGCAAAUUUAUUUCUUUCAAUUGAGACAUUCUUGAAGAAUUGGGAGUUUUGUGGCAGUAUUAUCAUUGUAUCACGUAUGGCUAUGGCUACUGCAAAUAGGCUUGGACUAUUCGCAUUCUUGAUUACUGGGUUGGCCAUUUUCUUUUAAGUUGAGAAAGUGUUAGCUCUUGGCCUGAACCAAGUCUUCCUUAUAGAGCCUCUGUCUUGGCUGUGCUGAGUCUGACUUGCUUAAGCCUGCUAUCUUGGUCAUUCAUUGAUUUUCUUAAUCUCUGUCUGCUCCGUAGUUGCUACUUGGCUACUUGCUAUCGUAUGUUCUCAGUGGUCUUCUCUAUAUUUUUGUGUGUAUUUUUCCUCAUAUAUUAUGGAAUGCAGUAAAUAUGUCUUUUGAUUAUCCUGGCCUUAUCUUUCCUAUGAUGAAUUUAUUCGGAGUCAUGCAUGUUACAAUCACAGUAUCUCAGUAUGGCAAAGUGGCAGUGUUCUGUAAAAGAGUUGAAGAAUUUAUAUGAAGUCAUUAACAACCCGAAAAUAUUUGCCUCAUCUGUUGUAAAUAAAAGCUAAUUCACAUGGCCUAUUACAUAUGGAGCCUUUACUGCAACUCUCAUGCUAGGAGGAGGAUUGGUCUAUGUGAUUUCAACUCAUUCAUGAACUUCGAGCUGUGGUUGAAAGCAUAGAAAUCCUGAGAGAUAAUUUAUAGUUGUGAUGCUUCUUUAUACCUCCCGAUUCAGUGGAACUUGGUUUUUAUGAUACUUAUUUGUCACUUGUAGAGAUGGGCUUCUUGAUUUUCCAAUCAAUUAAAUAUGGUGUACAAUAUUGUGGGUUGACAUGUAGAAGUGAUCCUAUGUACUGAAACUCAAUAGACGCUUGCUCACUCAAAGAUGAAAGAAUGGUUGAAGAUCAUGGACAUGGAAAACUGGGGAAGCUUAAUGAAUGCCAGAAUCAAACUACACGUAGAUUCCAAGAGGCGGGUCCUUUGAACGCUAAAAAUGUACUAGGAGCAGAAAAUAGAAGGCCAGUUCCAAAAUGGGAGGCGAUCAUCCGAAGAACGUUAGACUGGAUGAAGGAACCUGAGACUAAGCUCAAGAGUUAUAGUGCCCUCUCCAGCUUUAAGGACUUCUCUGCUUCUGGCAUAGUUGCUGAUGCGGUUGAUGCUCCUGCAAUGGAUAUAAUUGAAGAGGCAUCCCUUGUCGUACCUUUGGUUUAGAAAGGAUUAGAGGAAGAUGAGAUCUUCGUUUAUGAUGGUGCCAAAAGUGAUAAUAUCUCGACUUCAGGUUCUUUUUGGGUCUAAUGUGACUAUAGCUGGGCAAGACCCAUCAUAUCCGGCUUGUCUGGAUUCAAGUGUUAUUACGGGCCAAACUGGUCAAUUUCAGUAGGAUGUGGAGAAGUAUGGAAAUAUUGCAUACAUGAGAUGUACUCCAGAAAAUGGGUUCCUUCCUAAUUUAUCCAGUGUUCCACGGACAGACAUAUUUUUCUGUUAGCCUAAUAAUCCAACUGAUGCGGCGGCAUCAAGAGAUCAACUGACUAAAUUGGUGCAAUUUGCUAAAGACAAUGGCUCAAUCAUUGCUUAUGAUUCUACAUAUGCUAUGUAUAUAUGUGAUGACAGUCCAAAGUCCAUCUUUGAGAUUCCUGGAGCCAAAGAGGUACUUGUGCUAUUUCAGUAUCAGAAUUCUUAAGAUCUUUUAGCCAAAGAAGGGUCUAUCGAAAAUAGUAUCUUUACCUCCCAAUAAUAUAGGGGUAAGGUUUGCAUAUACUCUACCAUCCUCGAACCCUAAUUGUGGAAUUACAUUGGAUAUUGUGGUGUUGUAAUAAUAUGACUGGGAUUGAUUAUUCUGACUGAGAUAGCCUGCAUUGAUGGAGAUUUUAUUAACUUUCUGGUAUUCAGUUUCGUCUUGUAUUUAGGAUUAAUUUUGUUCCAAGAUCAUGAAGCUUAAGAUGUACUUAUAUAAGUAACAUUUUUAUUAAGAUGCUUGGUUAAUUGUCA